GAGGCGAAUCUAUGACACCAUGAAUAUAUCAAAAUGCUGGCUGAGAAGAUGACUCUCAGUCUGCAGAAGAAGAAAACUCCAGCAGGAUCCACAGGACACGACAACAAAGACAAAACUAUGACCUGCAACGUGUGUCACUAAGCAACAGAGCACCUUUGUAUAUCACAGAGAAAGGUAGGAACACAAAACAGGAAGAAGCUUAAAUGUUUGCAGUGGACAGGAAAUGUGAACACGUCACACAACUGCUGUGGUCAAAGCUACAGGAGCUGUUUGAGGUUGGUGUAAAAGGAAGGAAGCACAGAGAGGUGAUAGAAGGAGGAGCUGAAUAUAAACUCUGGUCUUAUCUACAUUAAGUGCAGCUUCUCUUUGUUCUGCAUUUAUUAUCAAUGCAAAGUCGAACACUUUGAGAUUAGAUGCAGAUCAGCGUGCAGGGCUGGACGUGAGGAUGGGGCACUCUUUGCUCUGUUUGCUGGGGUUAUUCUUGCUCAGUACAGUCAUCCAUGGAAACACUGAAGAACUUGGAGUGAAGGCCACUCUGACAGCAGACAGAUUAACCAUACCAGCAGGGGGCAGUGUGACACUGACCUGUGAUGUAAAACACUCUGCUGACUUUGAAUAUGAGUGGUUCA